rnacentral:lncRNA from 1 species
UGCAUUACAAAGCCUUACAACAGCAGUACAAGAGCUGUACAGGGUGCAAGGUGACAGCCCACCGUUUUGAUACCAUUGGACAUGAACUGUGAACCGCAUGAAGUGAGAAAAGAAGACAUAUUUAUAUUUUCUCAAGCAUAGCUCGGAACGUUCACUGCAAGUUGCGAUGAUUACAAAAUUGCCAGCCAUAUGCUUGCAAAAAGUCCUUGUCUCCAGCUUGCAGUUUUGUCACCUUCAUCGAAACCGUCCACAAAAGCAUCACGGUGCGACUCUCCCUGUUGUUGGCAAGAGGAAACGUGAAAGGAGAGAGGACGGGGUAUAUAUGCAGAGGAGGCAACGGUGAAGGGAUGGGAGGGAGCUCAAUAAAGACAUGUUAAGGGGAAUCCAGCAUUCGCAUUGCAAGCUAAAGACAGCAGUGGUAACACUGGGCGCACGACAUACACGAGGUCGUAAGACAGCAGGGCAUGCAUUUAGGACACAACCGCUCGUUUUCCUUCGUUUUCCUCGACAUACCCAGGUUGUAUUCCGACAUUUCCUUUGCUACUUAAUUAAGUAGCAACCUUUUUUUUGCUACUUAAUUAAGGAGCAAGGAAAUGUCGGAAUUAUAAUGUGACCGAUGCGAAUGCUUAUGGAAGGCUCAUGGGCCCCCGCCCCUGCGCCAAGCCACUUCGCUGAGCUUCACCGUAGUGCCAGAACUUCAAUUGGCAUUGCAGGCCAUCCUAAAGAUGGGGUCUGUUGUCCAAUCUUGCUUAAAUCUUGCUGCAACUGCCUACCUGUUGGGUAAUAUGGCUAUCGGCUUAGCGGACAGUGUAAUCUUCUGGCUCUGUUAUGCGAUUGUGUUGUAUUCUCUGCAUAUCACAGGAAAUGCAUUCGCCAAUUGAAUUUUUUCUGAAGUCGACAUUGCCAGCUUCG